UACGUAGGGUGCAGGCGUUAAUCGGAAUUACUGGGCGUAAAGAGCGCGCAGGCGGUCGUUCAAGUCGCGUGUGAAAGCCCCCGGCUCAACUGGGGAGGGUCACGCGAUACUGAUCGACUCGAAGGCAGGAGAGGGUAGUGGAAUUCCCGGUGUAGUGGUGAAAUGCGUAGAUAUCGGGAGGAACACCAGUGGCGAAGGCGACUACCUGGCCUGUUCUUGACGCUGAGGCGCGAAAGCUAGGGGAGCGAACAGG
rnacentral:rRNA from 1 species